GACGAGCGCUGGCGGCGUGCUUGACACGUGUGAGUCGAGCGAGGAGGCCGAGCUUGCUAGGUGGAUGAAUGGCGAACGGGGGAGGAAUACGUGAGUAACGUAGCUUGAACUCUGGGAUAAGCCGGGGAAACUGGGGCUAAUACCGGAUACUACCAAUCUCCGCAUGGGGUGUUGGUGGAAAGCGUUAUGUAUGGGUUAUAGAUGGGCUCACGGCCUAUCAGCUUGUUGGUGAGGUAACGGCUCACCAAGGCGACGACGGGUAGCCGGCCUGAGAGGGUGACCGGCCACACUGGGACUGAGACACGGCCCAGACUCCUACGGGAGGCAGCAGUGGGGAAUAUUGCACAAUGGGCGCAAGCCUGAUGCAGCGACGCCGCGUGAGGGAUGACGGCCUUCGGGUUGUAAACCUCUGUUAGCAGGGAAGAAGAGAGAUUGACGGUACCUGCAGAGAAAGCGCCGGCUAACUACGUGCCAGCAGCCGCGGUAAUACGUAGGGCGCGAGCGUUGUCCGGAAUUAUUGGGCGUAAAGAGCUUGUAGGCGGUUUGUCGCGUCUGCUGUGAAGGCCGGAGCUUAACUCCGUGUAUUGCAGUGGGUACGGGCAGACUAGAGUGCAGUAGGGGAGACUGGAAUUCCUGGUGUAGCGGUGGAAUGCGCAGAUACCAGGAGGAACACCGAUGGCGAAGGCAGGUCUCUGGGCUGUAACUGACGCUGAGAAGCGAAAGCAUGGGGAGCGAACAGGAUUAGAUACCCUGGUAGUCCAUGCCGUAAACGUUGGGCACUAGGUGUGGGGAACAUUCCACGUUUUCCGCGCCGUAGCUAACGCAUUAAGUGCCCCGCCUGGGGAGUACGGCCGCAAGGCUAAAACUCAAAGAAAUUGACGGGGGCCCGCACAAGCGGCGGAGCAUGCGGAUUAAUUCGAUGCAACGCGAAGAACCUUACCAAGGCUUGACAUAUACUGGACCGCAUCAGAGAUGGUGUUUCCCUUCGGGGCUGGUAUACAGGUGGUGCAUGGUUGUCGUCAGCUCGUGUCGUGAGAUGUUGGGUUAAGUCCCGCAACGAGCGCAACCCUCGUUCUAUGUUGCCAGCACGUUAUGGUGGGGACUCAUAGGAGACUGCCGGGGUCAACUCGGAGGAAGGUGGGGAUGACGUCAAAUCAUCAUGCCCCUUAUGUCUUGGGCUUCACGCAUGCUACAAUGGCCGGUACAGAGGGUUGCGAUACUGUGAGGUGGAGCUAAUCCCUAAAAGCCGGUCUCAGUUCGGAUUGGGGUCUGCAACUCGACCCCAUGAAGUCGGAGUCGCUAGUAAUCGCAGAUCAGCAACGCUGCGGUGAAUACGUUCCCGGGCCU
rnacentral:rRNA from 1 species